rnacentral:rRNA from 1 species
GUAGGGUGCUAACGUUGUUCGGAAUCACUGGGCAUAAAGAGCGCGUAGGCGGUCUGAUAAGUCAGGUGUGAAAUCCCCCGGCUCAACCGGGGAACUGCACCUGAUACUGUUGGGCUUGAGUGCAGGAGGGGAGAGCGGAAUUCCUGGUGGAGCGGUGAAAUGCGUAGAUAUCAGGAGGAACGCCGGCGGCGAAAGCGGCUCUCUGGCCUGUUACUGACGCUGAGGCGCGAAAGCUAGGGGAGCAAACGGGAUUAGAUACCCCGGUAGUCCUAGCCCUAAACGAUGGGUACUAAGUAGAGGAAAUUCCGAUAUUUUCUCUGCCGGAGCUAAUGUAUUAAGUACCCCGCCUGGGGAGUAUGGUCGCAAGGCUA